CGCGAUCAGCUCGCCCUCCGUCGGGAAGGGGGCGACGGGCCCGGACCUGAAGAUUGGCGCACGGGCAUAGAGGGAGGAGGCCAUGUACGUGUACGAUGGUUGGUUGAGGUAAUGAGGUGGAUGUGGGUGACGGGGAGGAACCCGGGGACGAGGAGGAGGUCUAGGAGCUUGGUGACGGGGAGGAGCCUGGGGACGAGGUCUAGGAGCCGGCGGCGGCGGCGGGGGCGGAAACGCUCCUGGGGGCGCGGGGGCAGGCUCCUAGCCGUCGGAGUCGGAGUUGGAGGAGGACGCCAUGGGCGGGCGGAGGAGGUCGAUCGGCGGCGAGGAGUUCUUGCGGAGAGAAAGGGAGAAGAAAAGCCGUUGAGUUUGUUUGUUACGCCUCGGCUCGGGGAGGCGGGAGGGAUGCCGCGUCCGCGCGUAUACGAAAGGAGAGAGCCAGCCAGCAACCGUCGGCCUCUCUGCUCUUCUCGGCGUCGCCGGCAAGCGUCGUGGGGCGGGCCGACUUGAUGGGCUGCGCCACCGGUCCCAGUCCUCUUUCGGCCCGCGUCCGGCUCACCUCAGGCUCACACUCACACCUGUGCGAGCAAAGCAAAGCUACACCCGCUGCGAGCUCCCGCGGCAGCAGAGUCGGCCGGCGCCGCCCUCCGCGCGCGCAGCCAGGGAGACUCAGGCGAACAACGAAAGGGAGGGGCGGCGUCGGAGUCGGGGUCGGGGUCGGGGUGGAAGCGCGGAGCAUGGCGAGGCCGCUCGGCUUCGUCGCUGCUGCAAGGUUCGGACCGUCGGCGGCAGUCAGUCGCGGCGCCCCGAACGCCGCCUGUUCGACGAAAUGGGUCAACCACCUGCCUUUUCUGCUACAGGCUUUUGAAGAAUCGUGCUCUCUUCUUGUGCCAGUUUCGCUCAACUGCUUGCCAAUAUCAGCGUUACAUUCUGCAUCUGAAGAAUGCAGUUUCUAUGGCAUCUAGACUCGUGCACACUUCAGAGUAUUCAGUUCAGGCUUUCUGAAUAAUGCUAUAGCUCAGCACUUGCUUACUGAUCGUCCCAGAUUCACAAAGCCCUUUUAUCUGGUGCCUGGGGUCUGAUACUGGAAGCUCCCACAUCUUAGCCAUGCUUCCGCUCUCACCCUCGCCAGCCAUCUCCAGGCAUGAAGAGGCUUCAAAUAUGAAAUAUGUACUGCUGACAACAGAGAAUGCUUCAAAUAUGAAGUGAUCUAUUCUAGCUAAGAAGCUGCCAACAGUUGUUUAUGUUCCACUGAUUUGGCAGAUCAGAUGAAGAUCAACCCCCACCGUUGUCCUCUCAAGACCCCCUGCCCAACAAACAUACGAGUCUGAUGGCCGGAAUGAAGAUGCCGACACCAAACAGGCAAGAAGCUCAUGUCAAUAUAAGCAUCGGAGCAGCAGAACCCACUGGCUGCAUAUUUUCUGCAUCCCUGCAAUCUAGCAUUCCACAGACGACUGAGCCAGUGAGACACCACAAGGUAACCUGAAGCAUAGCAAGGCAGCAGAAGCCAAUUGAGCUAGGUGAACAUGGCAUUCUGGACUUGCAGAAAAUAAAUAGGAUGGGCACUUCGGCUGUGGUGGUCGUGGCUGCUGGGCACAUCGCCGUCAUGAUUGUGGCAAGAAUUCAGACAGCCCUGCACCAACACUGUACAUGCCAUGUUCCAAGCCUCCACCUAUGUAACACCCGCUUCUGGACUGACUGCCGGAUGGAUGAUCGCUCACCAGCAAAUGUUGUGCCAACCGGACUGUCGGACUGUACAGUACAGCCCCAUCUCUGUUGCCAACUCCGGACUGUCGGACUGUACUGUACGCGUUGACCUUCACAACAACAGGUGGAUCCAGUAUAUUGUUGGCGCACUCUCGGCUCGGGCAAUGACCGCAUUCCUGCAACUGGCAGAAUCAAUUUCCACAUUUUCAGGUUCAGAAAGGAGGAAGGCACUUCUCUGGAGUUGAUCUGAAUCAGGGAAAUACAUCACCAAAUUUGCUUACUGGGCGUUCUUCAAUGGCACUGUCGAGUUCCCAUUCUAGUAAGAAUGGAAUGAUCCUUCAAAAAUCAUAUCUUAAAAGAAUGAUGUGAGUAUGUCCAAGAUCAUUCCAACUUUUUGAGGCAGCUUUCCUCACCUGUAGCAUUUUAUAGUAAAAAAAAAGUUGCAGAAACAUUAUGCAUUAACAUUUAACAAGAUAAAAGGUAACAACAAAUUAUACCAGCACCAAUGAUUAUGUAAAGCUGGAUGGAUAGCAUCUGAGAAAGAUCAUCUUUUGUAGACCAGUAACACAAAGCUCAUGGUAAUUUACUUGUCAUCACUGCUAAAACAGAAAUCAUUCUAGAGCGGGCUGCUGCAACUCCUUGGGAGAGGCAUAUCACAUCUUUGAAGCGUCUGGAUACAUAUUCAGAUUAAAUCCAUGUGCAGGAGUACGGAACAUGUCGACGUCAUAAUUGAUGGGAGCUCAUUAUGUUCUUGCUCUUUAUACCUUGGCGAUAAUUGGAUAUGGCUCCUUACCUGAUCGAUGUUCUGUCAAAUUUAGUUUGAAAAUGUAUGCACUAUUUUUCAUAUUUUUGGAUAAGAGCGCUGUUUUCAUCUUGUUAACUGAACAUGCACAUUUUCUCCAGAUGAAGCUUCUGUGAAGAGAAACUUGCUGGGUAAUCUAUUCGCAAUUACAUCUUCAUCAUGGAAUGGUUUGUGAUGUGGUUAUACCCUCAGCAGUCCUCCAGGAAUAAGAAGCCUGGUGAGUUCUCGGUGAACAUAAUCUCCCCACAUAUAUGUUGUCAAACUUUGUGUAGAUUUGCAUCCAAAAUCAAAUAAAUGAACAGAAAAUAAGGCUAUAGUUGGACGUGUAAUGAUUUUUUAGUCUUGCUUGCAGAAUCCUGUCAUCUAGUGGAUUGGUUAGUGAAUUUGGUGCUUCUUCUGGUCAUCCAACGUUGCUCCAAGAUGUACAUCCUGUCGAUUUGUUUUUCAGAAUUACUAAUAGAACGUGUUCUAAAUUAACAGUACCUGCAUUCUUGGACAUGUAUGACCAUCGGCCCUGCUAAACUAAAA